GCCAUGUCCAAAAUAGAGCUCCAAGAGACUCUUAGAGGCUCUUUAAAAAGUAUACUGUACAAAUUAUCUCACUUGUGAAUUGUGAUUGAGCCUCUAUACUGCAAGGAAGAUGUUUACUUGGGUAGAAGGGGGCAAUUUACCCCUAUAGCUGUUAGGAAAAUUUUCCUCUGUAAAAGAGGGCAAUAGAGCCUAGAUAUUUAGUAAAAUGAACUGUACUACAUAAGACUAGUUGAUAUGUGAUUGGUUAAUGUACUGGCAUUAGUCUAGACUCAACUUUAAAUCCUUGAGCAAUUUUUGGGUGUUGGCCUCGAGUAUCACAAUUUGUAAGAAAAUGACCCGAAACACCGAUGCCGGUGCCGAAGAAGAUGGCCACGACUUAUAAUUUUUAUAUGUAAAACGCUAAAUCGUGUUGCUUCUA